CGAGCUAUGGCCCGCCACCAGCACCGAGCUAUGGCCCGCCGCCACCCCCAGUGUAUGGCCCACCACCGGUGAUCGUGUACCUGCAGCAACCUCAACAGGGCGGUAAAGGCAAGGGCGGGGAUUCUGUCUUUGGCGGUCUGACCGACAAGCUCAAGGGCGGGUUCGAUACCGUGUCGGGAUCCUUCGGCAGCAUCAAGGACAAGGUCUCCUCCCUCAAGACUCGGGCUCUCAAGGCUCUGGUCGAGCUCCUCAAGGCUAAGUUCACCAAGGACAAGAAGGAAAGCGCUCCAGCUCCUGCGCCAGCCCCCAGCUAUGGCCCUCCUCCCGCUCCAAGCUAUGGUCCUCCACCGCCUCCCCCACCAAGUUAUGGUCCUCCUCCACCACCUCCCCCUCCAAGCUACGGUCCUCCUCCUCCAAGCUACGGUCCUCCUCCUCCACCACCUCCCCCUCCUAGCUACGGCCCUCCCCCCUCGACCUAUGGGGCUCCCCCAGCCGGUGGUCACGCCGGUCCCCUGGUGGACGAUGGACCUCCUUCUGGCUUCAACGGCAACGUCCCCGGAGGACCUUCAGGACGUUAACACAGGUGAAGAGGUCAUCAGUGAGCAUGUGUGUGACCUUGACACUCACACUGAGGUGAAGAGCGCGCGUGCGUGACCCAGGCAGGUGGUGGCGGCCAGCUGGGGUCGCCCCGGCCAGCU